ncrna:unclassified sequences drum RNA
UAGCGUUGAAGCAAGUGAUGGGGUCAGCGUCCGUACACUUGCGGAGCUUGACUAAGGGUUAUGCGGUUCCCACAGGCUGACGUAGGAGAAAUCCGAAAGAAAACGCUAACA